rnacentral:rRNA from 1 species
GAUGAACGCUAGCGGCAGGCCUAAUACAUGCAAGUCGAACGGUCCGCUUCGGCGGAUAGUGGCGCACGGGUGCGUAACACGUAUGCAACCUACCUUACAUUGGGGGAUAGCCUUUCGAAAGGGAGAUUAAUACCGCAUAAGACAGUAGCUGGGCAUCCAGCAGCUGUUAAAGAUUUAUCGAUGUAAGCUGGGCAUGCGUCCAAUUAGUUAGUUGGUGAGGUAACGGCUCACCAAGACGAUGAUUGGUAGGGGAGCUGAGAGGUCAAUCCCCCACACUUGCACUGAGAUACGGGCCAGACUCCUACGGGAGGCAGCAGUAGGGAAUAUUGGGCAAUGGACGCAAGUCUGACCCAGCCAUGCCGCGUGCAGGAAGAAGGCGUUCUGCGUUGUAAACCGCUUUUAUAUAGGAAGAAACGACUCUUGCGAGAGGCAUUGACGGUACUGUAUGAAUAAGCACCGGCUAACUCCGUGCCAGCCGCCGCAGUAAUAC